rnacentral:rRNA from 1 species
UACGUAGGUGGCAAGCGUUGUCCGGAUUUAUUGGGUUUAAAGGGUGCGUAGGCGGUCUUAUAAGUCAGUGGUGAAAUACGGCAGCUCAACUGUCGAGGUGCCAUUGAUACUGUAGGACUUGAGUACAGACGAGGUAGGCGGAAUUGACGGUGUAGCGGUGAAAUGCUUAGAUAUCGUCAAGAACACCGAUAGCGAAGGCAGCUUACUAGGCUGUAACUGACGCUGAGGCACGAAAGUGUGGGGGAUCAAACAGG